UCCACACCCAUGUGUGUAGGAUUCCAAAUGAUCACCAUUAAAUUUGGUACAAAUUUUCAUAAAAGUUAUCACAUGGGUGUGGGACUUGACUUUUUUUAGAGAUUUGUGUCAAAUUUAAUGGAUAUCUUUUGGGAUCUUACACACAUGGGUGUGGG
rfam:Amborella trichopoda AMTR_V1.0_contig_41863, whole genome shotgun sequence.